UCUUACUGCAGUGAGUAGGUUUCGUCUCACACAUGAUAUAUGAGAUGUAUGUAUGUUUAUAUGUUUAUGGGUUUAUUAUAGGCUUUUCCUCUUUUUUAUGCCCCCCUUCGAAGAAGAGGGGGUAUAUUGCUUUGCUCAUGUCGGUCUGUCGGUCAGUCUGUCGGUCGGUCCGUCCACCAGGUGGUUGUCAGACGAUAACUCAAGAACGCUUGGGUCUAGGAUCAUGAAACUUCAUAGGUACAUUGAUCAUGACUCGCAGAUGACCCCUAUUGAUUUUGAGGUCACUAGGUCAAAGGUCAAGGUCACAGGUGAAGGUCACAGUUACUGGAAAUAGGCAUUUUAAGGAUUUAGCAUGGUUCAAACAAGGGAAACAACUACCGUUUAUGCAUGUUCUUUUUAUUACAGCAUUUGCCUCCCUUUAAUUCAUUUAAAAUCUCAUUUUACAGCAGAGAUUCCAAAUCUGACCUGUAAAUGAGCCCCAUAUUUACUGCCAGUGCUAGGUUACCUUUUCCCAUUUGAUCAUUCUUAAGUAUUGGUAUUGUAAUGCUGCUGCUACUGCUACUGCUGCUACUACUACUUCUACUACUACUACUACUACUACUACUACUACUACUACUACUACUACUACUACUACUACUACUACUACUACUACUACUACUUAUACUACUACUACUACUACUACUACUAAUUCUACUACUACUACUACUACUACUACUACUACUACUACUUCUACUACACCACCACUACACCACCACCACCACUACACCACCACCACCGUUCACAGUGACAAAAAACGUAUUCACACAAUGGCUGCUACUACAACUUAUAGCCCAUAUAGGGGGGCAUGCAUGUUUUACAAACAGCCCUUGUUUUGUAAGAAUUUCCUUCUUCAAUGGAGGUGGCAUAAUUUGUGUUUCUUUUAUGCAUCUGUUUUUCAAGUGCUUCAAUGACUUUUAUGGCUUCAUUUUCAAGUUUGUGUGUUUCUUUUUUUUUUAGCUUACCUGAGCACAACGUGCUCAUGGUGAGCUUUUUAGAUCGCCUUUUGUGCCUUGUCUGUCGUGCAGCGUCAACAUUUACCUUGUUAACACUUUAGAGGUCACAUUUAUUGUCCAAUCUUCAUGAAACUUGGUCAGAACAUGUGUCCCAUUAAUAUCUUGGACGAGUUCGAAAAUGCUUCUUGUUGUUGAAAAACCUGGGUGUCAGGGGGCGUGGCAGUUUUCCUAAUAUGGCUAUUGUAAAACCUUGUUAAGACUCUAGAAGUUACAUUUUUUGUUUAAUCAUCAUGAAACUUGGUCGGAACAUGUGUCCCAAUAAAAUCUUUGACAAGUUCAAAAAUGGUUCCGUUUGGAAGAAAAACAUGGCCGCCAGGGGGCGGGGCAGUUUUCCUAUUAUGGCUAUAGUAAAACUUGUUCACUCUGUAGAAGUCAAAUUCAUUGUUCAAUCUUCAUGAAACUUAGUCAGAACAUUUGUUCUAAUGAUGGGGGGGGGGGGGCAGUUGUCCUUAUAUGGCUUUAGUGAAAACUUGUUGACGCUAUAUUAGCCUUAUUUAUUGGCCAAUCUACAUGAAACUUGGUCAAAACAUUAUUUUGUCCCAAUGAAAUCUUAGCGAAGAUUGAAACUGGGUCAUAUGAGCUUAAAAACUAGGACUCUAGGUAAAAUAUAAGAAUUAACAUGUUGAAAGUCACUUUUUUGGUCUAAUCUUCAUGAAUCAGUUUGCAUUUGUCCAGAAUAGUCUAGUUCCUUUUGCUCUCAGGUGAGCGCCUUAGGGCCUAACGGCCCUGUUGUUUUAAAUGACGUGCAUCUUAUUGUUGUGUUAAGUAUCUUGCCUUUAAUUAUUUCCCAUAAGGUGUUUGGAUUUGCAUCUUUGUUAUCUUAAACUGUAUUGGUUAUUACCUGUUAUAUUUGUGUUUGAUAUUGUGUAUCUUUUCAGAAGCUAUUAUUAACUUUUAAAGUACCUUUGGCCUCUUUCAGGUUGUAUUUCAUGCAGUUAAAGUUCAACUAUCGAGUGAUCAGUCAUAAAUCCUGGUUUUUAAGUUGCAUGUGUUGAUAAGGUUGCAAAUAGACUCGCAUAUUUAAAAAAAUCUUAUCUCCAAAAUAUUGCUGUUUUUGUGUUUGAGUGCCAGGUGAAUUUUCUUUCAUUAUGAUAAACUGUAUGCCUUAUGUCUAUCAAAUUGUAGUUUUCAAUAAUGUUAUUCAAAAUGUUCCUUUUUUUGGAGUGAGUAUAAAGAUUUCCAUUACUUUUAUCUCUAAUAAUGGGUUAAGAACAUUAUUAAAAUCCUCUCCGACUAUAAUGUUCUUAUCUUGGUUAUUUAUUAUAACAUUUGGAUUCAUCUAUGUUCGGACCGUAAACGUUCAUUAAUGUUAAUUGUUUUUCGUGUAUUUUUAUAUCUAUACUUGCGUGUCUGCCAAUAAUUAUUUCGUUCAAGUAAUCCACUGUUAUUCCUGUAUGACUUUUACUCAGACAAGCGAUGCCUUGUUUAUUUGUAUGUUGUCCGCUAAGAUAAAUAUCUCCGUCCCAACCACUUUGUUUGUCAAUGUUUUUGCUAAGGUAUGUUUUAGGUGACUUUCCUGUAUAAAAAAGACAUAUAUUACUUUUUUUGUGUAACCAUUUGAAACUUUUAGUGCAUUUGUCUUUGUUAUUUAGCCCUUGUACAUUUACAGUACAUAUGUUUAUACUCACACAAAAGGACGGAAUUGCAUGAUACCAUUCUUGUUCCAAACAUUUUAAAAUCAUUGUGUAGAGCUAGAUUAUUAGUUAAUAGUUCAUUAUGUCAAGUUAUAUUAAGCUUUGAUGAUAAUAACAAUUACCUUUAAUGUUGAUACAUUGUGUUCAUUAAAUUGAUCUCAGCACGAA